CCUCCUAGACUGCAGAGUUGAACAGGUGAAAACCUCAUUUCCCGGAAUCCCAGGAAGUAGGACUCUAGACAUCACUUAGGAUCCACCUUCUGAGGGAAAUGGCGGAGGUUAAAUUUGGAGUCAAGUGGCCAGAAAGGCAGAGGCUGAGACACCUAUUUCAACUGGUGUGCCAUGAGCAGAGGUGCAUUGAGCCAUCACCGGAUACGAACAUUACAAUGAGGCCACCAAGAAGCAACAGUUACUAUUAUUGUAACCUGGGGGAGAGCAGCAUCCAAGAAAUCUUACAAAAGACUUGUGGCCAUUUUCCUAUGUAUCAAGAAAAUGUGAAAGCCAUCUCCUCAGGACCAAAUUUACACUGAUCGAUGAAGUGCUUCGCCAAUUUAGACAGUAAGAGGUUGUUUAAUUAUAGCAGGGUAGCGGUGCAUAUUACACCAAACAUUUGUUUUACAUCUGAAAGCCCUGGAAAUGGAAAUUAAUAGAUUCACGCAGGAAUGAACUUACUUGUGGGGGCCCAGUGAUUCCGAGUAGACCAGCAAUUACUCAUUUUUCUUUGAAUUCAUUUCUGUGAUGGAAACACAAAAAAGUGAUUUCAAGAAGGAAAAUCGUUGCAUGGAAAUCUGGCAAGUUUUCACAAGGACUGAAUUGCUCUUUUGUUUCCUGCCCAGCAAUAUGAGAUUGUCAGCUGAAACUGGGUCUCUGCUGUGUUAGCAGAGGCAGAGAAGGCUCUGUGUCCAGCAAUGGCCCUGCCCUGGGACCAGCCUCCCAGGAGUUUCCAGAGCAUCCAGAGGAGAACGGAAAGCAGGUCCUUGGGAGAACAGGGCACUGCCAGCAUUCGGAUAACGAGCAAGCAUUCCAGAGGAAAGACAGCUGGCAGAUGUGGUCCACCACGAAUUGGGAUCAAACUUUAAUGUCAUUGUCAUGAAGAUAAAAAAGCAAAAAGGAAUAAUGAAGUCAACCAAAUGAGGUCAGGACUUUACUUUUUUAACCCAAAUCAACUGACUUUGCAUGUGCAGACCCUGUAGGAGCUUGAUUUUCUGGCCCCCAUUUAGCCCCAUGCCUGGUACAGUGUAGCUGUUCUGUUUAACAAAGAAUGUUAAGUGAUGAUGAAACCAGGAAGACUGAGCUAAGAGUAAGGAAAUACUUAGGAUAGCAAGACCAACCCAUGGAUGACUUUUUUUUUUUUUUUUUUUUUUUUAAAUGAGCCAGGUGUGGGAAGCUAAUGGUAGAAGCUAGAAGCUUGGCUGUGGCCUGAAUUAGGUAUCUGGGAGGAACCUCAGAGUUGCAGGGGUGGGAAGCGGGACUGGGAUGGAACAUAAUAGCAGCCAAUGUUAACAAUAGGGAUUGAAGUAAAUGAGUUUCUUGGCCCCCUUCCAGCCGUCCCGCAACCCCAGCCUGCUGGCGGCUUACUAUAACCAGGCCACAGGCAGGCUCUAUGGUCCACCGCCCCCAUGCUCUGGGCAGGUUGGAGCCUGGAUAUGAAACAAUAGAAAUGAUGAUCAUUGAGUAAGGUCCUUAAUCCAACACUAUGUAAAUCUUAAAGCUGUCUGUUGGAAAUUGAUUAUAUUUUUCCACAGAGGUGAAUGAGUUAGGCAUUGAUAUAAAGCUCUCUCACUUACUCCCAGUACACAAAUUACAUAUAUUUUUUGAAAUCUCUCAUGAUCAUAUAAAUCAGAGGGCAAUUAAGUUCUCUCGAAGUCUGGAGAACAGAAUAUCAAAACCGGGCAGAGAAAAAUGGUCUUACCUGGUUGAAUACCAGCGAAUUCCUCUCGCCGUUAAAUAAAGUGCCAUCUUGCCAAAUGCCAGUGAGCAAAGUAUUCUAGAAACUAGAAGCAGCUGGAGUUUCUUCUCAGCCCUAGAGUGGUGUGCCUGGUAACGCUGGCCACUUCUCCUAGGGAGGGAGAGGACCGGGUGACGGCAGAAGUCACAGCGCCCGUACAGCCUUUCUUGAUGUAUAUUUAGAGGAUGUUCAAACAGGGUGUGAGGAAUCUGUCCUCAAUAAAUUUGGGGAAGAGCCACAUAACAUGUUUGACUCUGAGAGAGUCACAAUAUCUAUUAAUAUACAAAAUUUCUGAGCAUGCCUGCAACAUGGAAAAAGUAACUCGGAUUAGUUCCGCAGGUACCGAGUUGACGAGCCUAGUUUUGCGUGUUAUACCAUAGAGCGCCUGGGGAAACGGCCAGUCGGAAGAUACGCUUCCGGUCUCUUUUGGGGAGUGAGAAGUUCUCCGUGCCAAAUCUCUCCAGGCCAUUUCAGGAGUCCGCUUCCCCAGGCCCUUUUGGGAGGGGUCACUGUGGGAGGAAUAGAUUUGCCUUUAGUGGCAUCUGCUUGGGUGGUCUCAGACUCUGGAGAACCAAGAGAGCCUGAAGGUUCGGAGUGGGGAGUCCAAAAACGACAGUUCUGAAAGUUCCUCAGAGCUCUUGCUGGGGUCUUGGCUUAAGAAAAGUUGUGAAAGGGGAUCCUAGGUUUCCUUCUAGGUCAGUGCUGGUUUAGCAGAAAAUAAUGCAAGCCACGGAUGCACUUUAAAAUUUCCUAAUAGCCACAUAUAAUUGAAUGAAUUUUCAUAAUAUCUUUUAGUGAACUCAGCAACAUAUUUUAGUUCACCGUGUAUUCCAUUUACAAAAAUGCUAAUGAGAUAGCUUUUUUUUUUUUUUAAGUCGGUCUUUGAAAUCGUGCGUGUGUUUGAGACUUAUGACAUACGGUGGCCUGGACUGGCUGCACACAUGUGGUGAUGCCUAGCUCUGGUUCAGCAAAGAAGUAGUUGCAGUGCAAGAAAGGAAGUUGGUUUCCAGGCUUACCCCACUGUUUGGAAAUGGGUGGGUUCAAUGCUGAUUUCCUCUCUGAGAUGGUUAAUUUUGUGUCAACUUGACUGCGCUAAGGGAAGCCCAUUUAGCUGGCUAGACAUUAUUACUGGGUGUGUCUGUGAGAGUGUUUCCAAAAGAGAUCAGCAUUCGAACUUGUAGGUGAAUAAAAAGAAAGAUUGCUGCAGGCAUCACCCAAACCUUGAGGGCCUGAAUAGAACAAAAAGGCGGAGGAAGGGCGAAUUUGCUCUCUGCUUGAGCCAGAGUCCAUCUCCUGCUGUCCUCAGACAUCAGUACUCCUGCUUCUGAGACCUUCGGAUCCGUCCAGGACCUACACCAUCGGCCCCCGAUACCCGGGCUGAGUUACACCACCGGCUUUCCUGGUUCUCUGGCGUGCAGACCAUGGGGCUUCUCAGCCUCCAUAACCGUGUGAACCGAUCCCUGUAACAAAUCUCUCUUUGUAUCUCUGUAUAUCCUACUGAUUCGGCUUCUCUGGAGAACACUGCCUAAUACAGACUCUAAAACAGGAAAUCUCAAGGGUGAGAACUCUUACUCACCACGGAACCCUCUAGGCCUUAGCAUUUUAUCAAUGUGUGGCUCAUCAAACACGUACAUUUGUUUUGUUCUUCCCUUUUCACAAAGCAUCUUGUGAUCUGUUUUCUCAAUAACACCUUCACACGCCCUGCUGCUUCUCAGCACGUCCGCAUUUAGCACGCUCUCCUCUGAUGAAGGUUCGAGCUUGUCUAUCUGUCUUAACUACCCCUCCCCGCUCCCUGUGUCUCCUUCACUGUGGCUACCCAGGGUUGUUUCAUACGGAGCAGGCAAUCACUUUCUGUUGAAGCAAACAUAAUUGAAUUGUUUCCAGCGUGAUGGAAGAAAGAGAACAUGCCUUGAAAAUUGGACAGACCUGGGUUUGAGCACUAUGAGGGGUGUGUGUUUGAACACAACAAAUUCCUCUGCUUCACUCCUCAGAGGUUUAUUUACUGGCGUUAAAAAGAAAACCACAGGCCCCAAAUGACAUCACUUAGACUCAGGCCCCAGCCAGCAAACCAAGACUCAAUACCUGAUGUAGCAGCACAGGCAAGCCCCUGGGAAUGUAACCUUUAGCCAGUCAACAAGGAAUUUGCUGGUCGAUACUAGGCUAUUUGCUGAUAGGCCCCUCCUUCUCCCCUUAGGAGGGUGACCUUGCCUAAACUACGAACACCUUGCUAAUAAAUUCCUUUCUUCUUCUCUG